rnacentral:rRNA from 1 species
ACGGGAGGCAGCAGUGAGGAAUAUUGGUCAAUGGGCGGAAGCCUGAACCAGCCAAGUCGCGUGAAGGAUGAAGGUAUUAUGUAUUGUAAACUUCUUUAGCAGCAGAGUAAUAAGGGGGUCGUGACCCCCGAUGCAAGUAUGCUGAAAAUAAGGAUCGGCUAACUCCGUGCCAGCAGCCGCGGUAAUACGGAGGAUCCGAGCGUUAUCCGGAUUUAUUGGGUUUAAAGGGUGCGUAGGCGGAUGAUUAAGUCUGUGGUGAAAGCGUGCGGCUCAACCGUACCGAGCCAUGGAAACUGGUUGUCUUGAGUGUAAACGAGGUAGGCGGAAUGUGACAUGUAGCGGUGAAAUGCUUAGAUAUGUCACAGAACUCCGAUUGCGAAGGCAGCUUACCAGCAUACAACUGACGCUGAGGCACGAAAGCGUGGGUAUCAAACAGGAUUAGAUACCCUGGUA